ensembl:lncRNA SH3BP5-AS1 SH3BP5 antisense RNA 1
GGUUCUCAGUACAUAAUCAUUUACUGCUUUUAUUCCUUGUGAUGUUUUAUAUAUUCCUUAGCUAUAGAGAUGAAAUUUGCCAUAUUCACUUUAUUGCUGAGAAACAAACCUCUCUACUAUGUGCUUGCCAAGGAGACUGUUCUGAUGUGAGACAUAGGACCUAAGCUCUACUUUAUAGAAGCUGAGUGGAGCCAGGAGCCCCCCCAGAACAGCACUUGGAAACAACCUCAGUGAUCAAUACUGACAGCACAACCACAGAGACCUGGUAAUGCAGCAUGGGGGCCCUGAGACCUGGCAGAGGUAUGGAAUGGCACAACAGUCAGGCUACAGAGGCAGUGUGGCAUCUGGGACGGGGUGAGAAGGCUGCUACUCACCUCGUUCUACUUCACAUUCAGGGGAGGAGGCCCCGCUGCAUUCACUUCGAGGGCCCAACACUGGGAACAUCAUCCCAAACUCUGACAGGGACACAGGGCUGGGCAGAUCCAGGCUGCCAGGCCUCACAACCGCAGGGAACUGGUCAGGCAUCUCAGACGGGCUUGUUGGUCCUGAACUAAAGCUGGACACGGACUGGGUUUCCGAGUCAUCUUCAGACACAAAGUUGCUACAGCUGUCAUCUUCAAAGGCCUCCGAGGCCACUAAGUUGAGAGAGAACACCAGUCACAUGGGUUCUGUCACCUCCUCAAACACCACAAGUGCUUGCUGCUGGCAGGCAGCUAGACACAGCAUGGGGGACUAAAGAGUCUCUACCUCUGUGAGUGCCUAAUGAAGGAAUGUGACUUCCCAAGCCUGAAUGACCAGCCUCUAAAGCAGCUGGAAGGGAAGCAGCUGGCAGCAGGAUCCCAUGGAUAUUAAGCGCCCUUCCAAUAACCUUAUAACCCUGCCAAGAAAUCAGUGUCACCAGACACCACCUAAAAAUGGAAGAUUAAUUCAGCCACAAAUUAGGACCUUUACUCCACCUCAGUCCCCCAAAUACAUCCUCAUGUGCACAGGAAGAGGUUCUAGUCCUCUGUAACAUAUCCCAAACAAAGCCAGCUGGACUCAGGCUUCUUUCUUAGGGCAAUAGAAGCAAGAGCUGCUAGAAGAAACAGGCCAGCAUGGAACAUCUGUUGGGACCUUUGUUAUCUCCAGUACUUAAAUAUUUGUUGAAGGAAUUAACUCCUGAGGAAGGAGCUUGGGAAAGAGCCGACAGGGAUUAUUGCACAGGACUUCUCAGCCUUGAAUGUUCAAAUGUAUACUUUGACUCUCAAAGAGGAGUGAAGGUGUAACAUUUUCCCAAUUUAUUUGACCACAGAAUCCUGACUUUGAGGAACACUUAGUACCUUCUUAAUGAACACAGUGUUCCAUAAAACAUGGGAACCCACCAGAAAUAGCCCUCAGGCCUGCCCAACUCUGAGACCUUUCACUGAUGGCCAGAGAAAGUGAGGACCUUGGGAAACAAAUCACACAGUCUGAUAUCUCCCCACAUACCCAGUGGAGCCCCUGACUUACCAGAAAUGGCAUCAGGCUCAGGUUUGCUCCCUGGCAGAUCCUCCACAGAUGUGCUGCUGCCCUCAGCACCAACACCGCAUCCCCGAGGCCCCAUGGCACUGGAGCGCCGCCGCUCGUGGAUCUCAUCUGAGAUCAUCUCCAGGUUCUUCAGGGCCAUCUUGUACUCGCCUUUUGCCAGGGUCAGUUUGGCCUGCAGGUCAUCCACAGUCUUUUUCAGUUGCUGAUCAAGAGAACAGGAGACUAAGUGAAGACUACCCUGCUAGCCUUAAGAUGCUUUCUGAAUGACAGGUUCAAGUACAUUUUCUGCCCAUCAUUCUACUUCAAGGAAUUUUCCAAGACAUGACUGAAGACCUAAUUACCAUUGUAACUGCUAUUCAUUCACCAGACAAAAUCAGCCACCACCAUCCCCAGAUCCCAUCCAGGUGACAACCUCUAAUAUCCAAAAACUCUCACUGGUGGAACAAACCCCAUCAGGGAAGCAAAAAUGGGCAUCAGACACACCAAAGUCCCACAGUCUAGACAUCUGGUUCCCAGUACAGUGGUUCUCAAAGUUGAGCUUGCAUCAAAAUCCCCUUGGGUGUUAAGACUCAGCUCACUAGACUCCAACCUCAGAGUUUCUAAUUCAGUCGGUCUAGAGUGGGACCUGGUCUAUCAGGUCUCCAGGUGAUGCUGAUGCUGCUGGUCCUAAGAGCAUGCUGUGAGAACCACUGGCCUAGUACAACAGAGAAGGUGACUGAAUGGCAGUUACAGAGGUUCAGAGACCACUGAAGACCCAACCGAGACAAUUUUGAGGUCUGAAAACUCAGUAAAGCCUGUCUCUCCACUUUCCCCUUAUAGCAAGUGGCCCAUGUGAUACUCUGCUACCCCAGAAAAGUGAAGCUUUGAGUGCAGAAAAAUCUCAUCAGUGACGAAGCCCAAAGCUACACAUACCUCGAGCUGCACAUAGUACUUUGCCUUGAGUUCAAAAUAAGGCCUGCAGAAGACAGGAAGGAAAGCCAUCAGAGUAAUAUAAUACAGUGACCACAGUCAACUCCACAAGAUGAACAAGAGGCAUCAGCUACCACUGGCCAGGUCGUCCUUCCAAUAUUUAGUAAACUCUUAACAAGGCCGUGACAUGUCAGUGAUGCUCCUAGCUCUGGAGACUGACAGACACCAGAUGGAACGACUGGGCUCACCCAGGGCUAUAUUAACAGGAGGCCCAUCUCAAGACACGGGGAACCCACACACACAUAUCUUGGGGACUCUGCAACUUAGCUCAUGUUCCUCCUCUGUGGGAAGGCUGUUCAGAGCCUCACAGGUUAUACCCAGCAGUAAGGGUGGCCUGGAUCUGCUCUCCUAAUGAAGUUGGCUCCCCAGGGAUGAAGAGCAGCUGAGGCUGGAGAAGGGGCUGCUUAAACCUCCUCCUCUACUGAAGUCAACUGGGGAAGAGAGAGAAGCACCACUCCUCCCUCACAGCACAGCAAGGCCACCACUAGGAGGGGGUCUCAGGUUGGUCCUCCCAAACCUUGUCCAAAGACUGGAGUUAUUAGUUGGCUGACUCAGCCACAUAAUGGGCCCAAGAAAUGCCAGCGUCCUAGCAGUUCCCUUGGUUCUGGGUCAGCUGAAAGAGCUUGGCUCUUUUUUAGGAACUUUGGUGCCUGAACAUUAAGAGUAGAUCACUGCUUUAUUCUUGAGCUGUUCACCCUCCAUGAAGCUCUCAAGUCCUGCAUCCUGAGGAUCCAGAUGGAUGACAAGGACACAGGACUGCCAUUGGUGGGUAUGAAAAUCCUGAAAUUUGGGGGGAGAGAGAGGUGUAUAAGCUCUCUCGUGUGACCAAAAGGAGCACAAGGUGAAGAGUAUGUGUGUGAAUGGGCAUCGGAGGGCACAGGGAAGAUGUCCCAGCAAAAGGAACAUGAGCAUCCAUGCAAGGGAGUGUGGCUGGAGAGGCAGGGUGGGCAUGGAGGUGGCCUGGAAGCCACUCUGUGGAAUGCACAGAUGUACAUUUUAACCUUUGGGCAGACAGGAGCCACCCAAGACUACGAUCUAUCCCUGUACUCUUCUCGGAGUCUGAAAAGAGAAAUGAAGAUGAACUGUGUCACAGAUGCAGUGGAUUACUGACUGCCCUUGUAAUAGUCCAUUUUGCAUCUGUUGGUAAUUCAUUGAGGCACUCUUGGUUUUCUAUGAGUUUGUAUUUUUUGAAUUCAAGAAUUGUAACAUCACUGUUAGAUCCCU